UACGUAGGACCCAAGCGUUAUCCGGAAUUACUGGGCGUAAAGAGUUGCGUAGGUGGCAUUAUAAGUGGAGCGUGAAAGCGUGCGGCUCAACCGCAUUACUGCGUUCCAAACUGUAAAGCUUGAGUAUGAGAGGGGUAGAUGGAAUUUCUAGUGUAGGAGUGAAAUCCGUAGAUAUUAGAAGGAACACCGAUAGCGUAGGCAGUCUACUGGCUCAUUACUGACACUAAGGCACGAAAGCGUGGGGAGCAAACGGG
rnacentral:rRNA from 1 species